AACGAAGCACAGAUGUAGAAUUUCUUCGGAAAGGAAGCGCCUGUGACUGAGUGGCGGACGGGUGAGUAACGCGUGGGCAACCUGCCCCAUACCGGGGGACAACAGCUGGAAACGGCUGCUAAUACCGCAUACGUUUUCGGUGCCGCAUGGCGCCGAAAAGAAAACUCCGGUGGUAUGGGAUGGGCCCGCGUCUGAUUAGCUAGUUGGGAGGGUAACGGCCUACCAAGGCGACGAUCAGUAGCCGGCCUGAGAGGGCGACCGGCCACAUUGGGACUGAGACACGGCCCAGACUCCUGCGGGAGGCAGCAGUGGGGAAUAUUGCACAAUGGGGGAAACCCUGAUGCAGCGACGCCGCGUGAGCGAAGAAGUACCUCGGUAUGUAAAGCUCUAUCUUCUUGGAAGAAAGUGACAGUACCUGACUAAGAAGCCCCGGCUAACUACGUGCCAGCAGCCGCGGUAAUACGUAGGGGGCAAGCGUUAUCCGGAUUCACUGGGCGUAGAGGGAGCGCAGGCGGCGCGGCAAGUCUGAUGUGAAAGCCCGGGGCUCAACCCCGGGUCUGCAUUGGAAACUGUCGAGCUAGAGUGUCGGAGGGGUAAGCGGAAUUCCUAGUGUAGCGGUGAAAUGCGUAGAUCUUUGGGGAAACACCAGUGGCGAAGGCGGCUUACUGGACGAUGACUGACGCUGAGGCUCGAAAGCGUGGG
rnacentral:rRNA from 1 species